AUUGAACGCUGGCGGCAUGCUUUUACUACAUGCAAGUCGAGCGGCAGCAUAGAGAGCUUGCUCUCUGAUGGCGAGUGGCGAACGGGUGAGUAAUACAUCGGAACGUGUCCGUUUGUUGGGGACGAACCAUCCGAAAGGAAUGGCUAAUAACCGCAUAAGACCUGAGGGUGAAAGCCGGGGACCGGCAAGGCCUGGCGCGAACGGGGCGGCCGAUGACUGAUUAGCUGGUU
rnacentral:rRNA from 1 species